rnacentral:rRNA from 1 species
UACGUAGGGGCCAAGCGUUGUCCGGAUUUAUUGGGCGUAAAGAGCUCGUAGGCGGUUCGGUAAGUCAGCUGUGAAAUCUCCACGCUCAACGUGGAGGGGUCAGCUGAUACUGCCGUGACUUGAGUCUGGUAGGGGAGUGCGGAAUUCCCGGUGUAGCGGUGAAAUGCGCAGAUAUCGGGAGGAACACCAGUGGCGAAGGCGGCGCUCUGGGCCAGUACUGACGCUGAGGAGCGAAAGCGUGGGGAGCGAACAGG